CGCGUGAACACCGUGGGAGGAAGUGCUCUCGGCGGAAGUGAUCGCUUCGUGAAUCAUCGGUGGGAUGAUCGCCGGCCGGCUCUAUCUAAGGCUGCUGCAAGCAUCCUCCAAGUCCAUGGCUAAGCGCCCACUCGAGGGUGUGCCCCCCUCCAGGGGUCUACACGCGGGGCGCGGGCCCAGAAGGCUCUCCAUCGAAGGCAACAUUGCUGUGGGAAAAUCCACCUUUGUGAAGUUACUCACGAAAACUCACCCAGAGUGGCACGUAGCUACAGAACCUGUAGCAACAUGGCAGAAUGUCCAGGCUGCUGGCACCCAAAACGCCUGCACUGCCCCCAGUCUUGGAAACUUGCUGGAUAUGAUGUACCAGGAGCCAGCACGAUGGUGCUACACAUUCCAGACAUUUUCUUUUAUGAGCCGCCUGAAAGUACAGUUGGAGCCCUUCCCUGAGAAACUCUUAGAGGCCAAGCAGGCAGUACAGAUCUUUGAGAGGUCUGUAUACAGCGACAGGUAUAUCUUUGCAAAGACUCUUUUUGAAAAUGGUUCCCUCAGUGACAUCGAAUGGCAUAUCUAUCAGGACUGGCAUUAUUUUCUCCUGCAGGAGUUUGCCAGCCGGCUCAGAUUACAUGGCUUCAUCUACCUCCAGGCUGCUCCCCAGGUUUGUCUGAAGAGGCUACACCUGAGGGCCAGGGAAGAGGAGAAAGGAAUUGAGUUGGCGUAUCUUGAGCAGCUGCAUGCUCAGCAUGAAGCCUGGCUUGUCCGCAAAACAACCCCGCUUGGUGUGGUGUCCAUUUAAAAUGUUUGAGGCUCCGACCUUCAGUAUCAGUCUCAAGACUAAAGAGGAAUUUCAGCCUCAUCUUCCCAGCCAACUUUAUGGAAUUCUUUUUCUAAACUACUGUUUACAUGAAAUUUCCUUAAGAAGGUAUGUGACCUUAGAUCUGUUCUGAAUUAUUAAGACUGGUGAGUAUGUGAAACCUGCCAUCUUUUUUCUGUUCCCUAAAUGUUCAUGCUUCUUAUAGGCUCUGCUCUGAGGCUCUGCUGAACAUUCCAGUGCUGGUAUUGGAUGUCAAUGAUGAUUUUUCUGAAGAAGUAACCAAACAAGAAGCGCUCCUGAAGAGGGUAAACACCUUUGUAAAGAAUCUAUAACCAGUACCAGGAUGUUCUAGCUGUGAUCUGGGCUGUCUGACUUUUUGAAACCAGAAGAAUACCAAGUCACCCACCUUCCCAUCCCCACUCCAAUCUCCUUUUACACCUAGAGUGCUCUGACACUCAGGGGUUAGGUUUCUAUUACCCUUGGACCCUGCCUUUGUCUUCCUUUAUAUCUCAAGGACUUCUUAAAUAAAGUCUACAUUUUUGUGGA